rnacentral:lncRNA from 1 species
GUUUGAGUUUGUUUCCAUGAUGAGGCUGGCCAAGUCCCUCGUUGUUCUGCAUAAAAACUGAGCAUGGUCUAUGUGCUUUAUGUUGAAAACUUCUUAGUAUUUUUCAAUUGAAAAUAAAGACUGAUGGAUGGUAUAUGGACAGUUCCUUGAAGGAUUUUAUUGUAAGUUGUAAGAGUGUUAAACUGCCGCCUAGUCUAAUAGUCAUAUGUGCAUGUUUGUUGCCUUAUAAUAAGGUUAUCAUACUACUGGCAUGCUGGUGCUCUCGGCUGAUAUAUGCUUUGAAUCAGCCGCUGGCCUCUGUUCUGAUAUCAACAUGAACUUCCCUUCUUUUGGCGGACGCUGGUGAUGGCAAUGCCUAAACGCAGUUGGAAAUCGACUAACAUAGCUAUGAUUUGUUGGACUUCCUUCCAGAUUGUGCCUGUCUGGUUCGGCCUUCUGGCUGAAUACAAUCCCUUGGCACUUGCGGGGGGGUUGGUGAAUGGUGAUGCCUGUUCCUUCCAGAUUGUGUUCUUAUUCCAUGUAACUUGAUUGAUGGUCUGUGCUCGGUUUCAACAGAUGCACAAUGAUAUGUCGUUGGUUGCUUCAAAGGGAUGUAUACAAGGUUAUGAUCUUUGUUAGUCCGUUCAUCCCACUUUAAAGUGAAUCCAGUAUCCCAGUUGGCUGAGGUAACGUUCUAGUUGGCUGAGGUUGUGAUAGGAGAGUGUGUGAUUCAAUGACUCUCCAAAGGGUUCAUGUGCUGCAUUCGGUUUGGAAGACUGGAUAUAAAGAUGAUUUCCAAAAGCAGUUGCUAACAGUGGUACAGGGUAUAGGACAUAAAUAGAUGAUUGGAACUUCCUUGUAUGUGAGGCAUUUUGAUUUCUAUUUGGCAGUUCAUCUUCUAAAAUCUUCUCGCAGAGUUGUUGUCACUGGCUCUUUCAUCAGGUCAGUAGAGAAGCAUUGCAUGCUUGUUUGCGCUACCGUUGUCUCAUCUUUUUUAUUUCUUCAUCAUACAGUGAAAAACACUUCCUCCAGUGCUCAGACUUCUUUUUGGAGGUUUGGUCCUAUUUCUUUUUUUCUCUUAAGAAAAAGGGUAGGGAGCCUUAAUCCGAAUUCUAAACCGGCGUGGCACUGCCUUUCGAUCCAUAGAGCAGGAAGAGGAUAAAAUAAAGGCCCCCAAAAGUCACGACCACUAAGAUGUGCAUAGUGAUUUGAUCUUUUGAAAAUUCAUUUUUCGAAAAAAAUCAUUUUUGGGGGCUUACGCAUUACACACGGAAGAUCAGAUUACCUGACUUGCAUAGUAAUUUCCCUCUUUUUUGAUGAUCAGUUUAUGGAUGUCUUGUGAACGCAGUUAGCAAAUCUCAUCAAGUUGCAUCAUAGCACCUUGGAUAGGUUUUUAGAUUCUGAAACCUACACCAUCGCCAAUGCCUCUGCUUCACCUUCUUACAUAAUUUUCCUUUCUGUUUAUUUUUAUUACUUUUUUUUAUUCUCUCUUUUUGAGGUUAGGAGGAAUUGAUCCUCACCUUCUACUUCCAUCCUCGAGGGCCAACGCUAACCAGAAUUGUCCGCUUGAUCCAAGUGGCAAAGGUGAUACCAUCCGUGCAGAAGUUUUGUAAUUUUUCUUGGCUUAUUCUUAAUAAAUAAAAGUUAUCGUGUUUGAUUUAUCUCCCAUUCAGUCCGCAGACUGAAAUCUUGUCUGCUGUCCGAUACAUCAUAAAUAAGUGCAGAGAAGACCACGGGUCUGACCAGCUUAGAGUCUCAUUAGCCUCAAUACGAUUUCCGAAAGUUAUUUUUAAGUAGGAAGAGGAUCGUUAUUGCGAAUUCUAAUUUGCAGUUAUCUUGGUUCGAUCAGAGCCGAUUCAGCCUGUGAUCCCUCAAUUGUCAUUUGCUCUUCCAGCCUAAGCCUGCUAAGAUCAGAUUAUAUCUGAUUCAUAUUUCUGCCAGUAAUGUCUAUUCACAUCUGAUUAUAUCUGCUAAGAUCAAAUUAUAUCUAUUCACAUUAGAUUUUGCCAUUCCUCAAAGCAUACUCCAAAGUUACCAAGAUUUUCAGAUGAGAAACAUUAUUAAGCUCUUUCUUUUUUUUAAAAAAAAAGAUUUUUUAAAUUACAUAAUUGCAAAUCAUUUGUUAUAAUGUCAAAAGCAAUAACGAAUUGCGGAUGUGGCGCUUCUUCCUACCUACAACACUCAAUAGUAUUCCUGAUGAUAUUGCAAUAGUUUUGCUCUAGAGCUCUGAAAAAGAUAAUAAAUAUAUACAUGAUGUCAUGGUUGAGAGGUGCCGCAACAUGCGUAAGAUGGCAGAACAAACCUGGCAUCUUUCCAGAAGUUGAGUUAGCAAAUAUCCAUGCAGUAGACAUUCAUGACACAAGAAACAGCUAGAACAACCAUUAUUUUCUAUAGCCAUUUUGCUGGAAAAAUAAGUCCUCACAUGAUCCAAUAACUGAAAUAACAACAUCAAAUGAAGCAAAAAAAGACCCUCCUUUGCUCAAAUUACUCAUCAUACAGCUACUGUUUUUUCUCUUUUAAAAUCCUUGUUGACAAACCACCACCAUAAUGAGCAAUCAUUUAUUCUAAGAUGACAAGGCAUGCGAUGCAGAAUGCUGGCAUCUCUGAAAACAAAGCUUCAAUCCAGAGGGAAAAAUUGAUGCUCAAAUUUAUGCUUUUUUGGGCACGCCAAGACGCCGUCGGAAGUCCUCUUCCAUGAGAGGAAGGCCCUGCCGUAGUGUAACCUUGUGCUCCCAUCCUAGUAACUCCUUGGCUUUUGUGAUGUCUGGCUUCCUUUGGCGAGGAUCAUCAGGUGUAUUCUCCACUACUUUCACAGGCACCGUGGGAUCAAUUAACUGCAUUUAAGUUAAAGUUUGUCAUUACACUAUUUAAAUGAGGGGAGGAUAGUGCAAUUUAAGAAUAAAAAACAGAGUUUGGAUAUUGGACUAAAAGGACCAGGUAAAAGCUUACCUCCUUAAUGGUUUCAGCAAGUUCCAUCAUUGUAAAUUCUCCUGCAGCAUUGGCAAUGCAUACUUACAUUAGAUAAAAUGAUCAUCAACACUGACCCUUGGUUAGGUUAUAGUCUUGAAUUAAGAGAAUUCCAACACAUCAAGCAUUUGCCCCCAUGUGGAGAGCUACAGAUCCCAGGUCCAGGACUUGUUUCAUUUGGUUGUCAGCUGCAUGCUUGGAUAUCAUGCAGCAAUAAUGCAAUAUGCUUCUUAAUUCACAUAACAGUCAAUCAUGCAAGUUCGAGAUAAUUAAGCAAAUUACCAGGGUUUCCUAAAUUGAUAGGGCCUGUGUUAUCUCCUUCCAUCAGCCUAAUAAGUCCAUCAACCUUCAGAGUUUAUAGAGAAGUGAAUUCCCAGAGCAUUAAAUAACCAGAUUGUACUUAAGAAACUGAAUAUCACCAAAUAAAGCACUACUUUUUUACCAUAUCAGAAACAUAACAGAAACUUCGAGUUUGCGUUCCAGGUGCUUGAACAGUUAAGGACUCGCCCCUGUAUGAAAUCAGAAUAAAUGAGAUAUGCAGACAAUCUUGGAUGGAAUGCAAAGCGGAAAUAACAGAUGACGGCAAAGAGGUUACCGAAGCGCCUGAGCUAUAAAGUUACUGACAACACGACCAUCAUCGAUGUUCAUGCGUGGUCCAUAUGUGUUAAAAAUUCUAGCAAUACGAAUCUCUGUUGAAUACAAUAAGUCCAAAGUUAAAAGAUGAUUUAUGAUCAUAUGCCUCCCAUCUCUCAUGCCACUAGAACAUCUUCCAGGAUGUGCAAAACCAGCAAGUUGGAUUUCUAAUUCACAGAUAAUCAAUCACCUAUGCCAUGCUGCCUAUGAUAGUCAAACAUUAAAGUCUCUGCCACACGCUUGCCCUCAUCAUAGCAACUCCUGACUCCUGUGGUACAAGGAAUAACCAAUUACCAAUAAGGAGCCAGAGACAGGAAAGCAAUGUAGAAGAUCGCUAACAAAAUGCAAACACUUCAAGAAAAGAGUCUUACCGAUUGGGUUAACAUUUCCCCAGUACUCCUCCUUCUGAGGAUGCUCAAGAGGAUCACCAUAAACCUCUGAGGUUGAGGUCAGCAAAAUCCUGCAAGGGAAGAAAAUAGUGCAGUAAAAUAUCACUAGUUAUUCUUGCUAGAGAUUUCAAAUUGUCCAAUAAAAGCAGUUUAAACACUACCUUGCUCCAACCCGCUUUGCAAGUCCCAACAUGUUUAGUGUGCCAAUGACAUUUGUCUUUAUCGUCUGUUGUAAAAAAAAUCAUUUCAAGCUAGAUUUGCUUUCUAGUUCAGUACUCGUCAUUCAUAUAUACAUGCAUACAGCUACAAUAGAUGAGCUGUAAUGUUACAGCAACAGAAUGGGCAACUAGUGACAAUUACGUGAAGAAAAUUGAAACAAUACAAUUCAAGCUACUAUUUUUUAUAAAGCAAAAAUAUGACUAUGGCAGAAGAUUUCCUUCUGGGGGAUGGAGUGCAAAUGUAUCAUGUCACAGAUUAGUUGAGAGAAUACAAAUACGUGUGUGCAGCACAAGACAUAACUAGGAUCAAGAUACUAGCUGAAUGAAUGGAGGUGAGGAAGGAAAACCUGGGAAAUGGUAAAAUUUAACUAAGAGGCACUGUGCCAGAAUAUGUACAUUGUCUCAAACUUCUGACACCCAAAGUCAGGUAAUGUUCUUUGAUUACUGUCUGGCUAACAUGAGUUUCAAAAUUCAAUCACUUCAGGAGCUGGCAACUAUUCGGACAGGCCAAUUUAUUAUAAAGUAAUUUCUUUUUUAUACAUACUAUGUACUCUAAGCUUCUUCCAGCAAUCAACUGAUCAACUAGUAAAACCGUGCUAGGUUCAUACUUGUCACUGACAUAGAUGCUCAGCAUGACAUGUCACCCUAAAUUUUGGACUAGACAAACACACCUUCACAGGGUUGUAUUUGUAGAAAAUUGGAGAGGCAGGGCAAGCAAGAUGAUAGAUUUGAUCCACCUCUACCAGCAAUGGCUCUGUGACAUCUGAGAGUCAGCAGAAAAAAAAAAAAGCAAAGUCAGGCAAGUGCAAAGUGAAUUUAGUUAGCUACCAGGAAAAUCUUCCAAUACUGACAAAAAAAUGCAAACUGCAUAAAAAAGGUAGAAGCACUGAAUUCCUAAAUCAUGUUAUAUCUGGAGAACCAUAACCAGAAGUCGCAAGUAGGCAAAAGAACAAAUUCACAUUAGAAAAGAUGAUAGAAGAGUACUUAAGCAAGGGUCUGAAGUCUGAGCACAGAAUCUCACAAUCAGUUACAAAAAAUAAACUUCCAGCUUGUCUUGAUUAAUUUAACCAGAUGAAUGUAAGUAACAGUACCAUGUCGAAUUAGCUCAAAUCUUGGAUGACCAAUCCAUUUUCUAAGAUUGUCCUUUGAACCAGUGAAAAAGUUGUCAGCAACAAUUACCUGCACAACAUGGGUAGAAAGAAACACAUGAAUGUGUGUUCAGAAAAAUUAACGAUGAACAUGCAUACAAUUGAAAUUAGCAGACACAUAUACAUUGCUGUACUUCUGGGGGAUUUUUUUGACCCCAAGUUAUGGAUGGGAGAAACAACUGUGGCAUUACAGCAGAAGGGGUGCCAUGAAUUUGAUUAGGAGUUCCACUCGACAAAUAUGAUGUAUAAACAGGAUAAAGUUCAUGCAUCCCAAGCGUAAAUUGUGGUAUCCCAAAAUUGUGGGCUUAUAUAUCAGAUUAUUUUCCCUUAUUAUUGAUUGAAAACAACAAAAGGAUGAUUCAAAGAUGAGAAACCAAAUACUUAUUCAUUCAAGCCUAAUUUGAUUCAACAGCUAGAGUUAGAUAAGGACAUACGGCUUGGAGACAUCGAACAAUAAUUUGUUUGUUAGCAUCAACCUUUAUCAGGCUCAUUCAUAACUGGUUUUAGAUUUCAAAUAAUGCUUCCCGUCUAUGCAUGAGCCAUGUCAUAUGGAUAACAGGCAAUGGUAGCUGCAAUCCAAAAAACCCCUCCAUAUAAAAUCAUAUAAAUCUGAACUACUGAAUCAUAACAGGUAGUGAUGCGAUAAAUGCAGUUGAAAGAAUCAAAGAGUGUGAAUGCUGCAUUGCAUGUUAAUAUCACUGAGGCAACAUGUGCAUGUAAUAUCAUCACCAAUAUGCGCACAGAUAAUCCCAUUUAUGACACAGCAAAGGAGUGAAGUCUCCAACAACUUAUUUGUUGACUGCAUGCAAGUCAAAUAGGUCUGUUUGUCCAGUUGGAACCACAGGAGAGAUCAAAGUAUUGGCUCAGAAAUAAGUCGCGUUCCGAAAAAUGUAACUUGUCUAGCGACCACAAGUUCCAUAAUGACCACCAAAACACAGCCAAAACCAAUUAUAAUGAAAAAAAUAAGGCAUAAAAAUUACAGUAAGAAAUACCUCGUUCUUUUCAUUCUCCAUCAACUUGUCCACCAAAUGAGACCCAAUGAAUCCAGCGCCCCCCGUCACCAAGAUUCUCAUAUUGGACUGUCAAACAAGAAUGCCUUCCAAAUAUUCAGUCGAGAACAAACCAAUCUCCGCCCGUAUCAUAUAAACAAUGCAUUUCGAUUUUCAUAUACAGAUCGGAGAGAUCAGAGAGGGAAGAUUUUAUAUCAAGUUAAUCACUUAGAUCACAGAUAUGAUUGCCAGAAAAAUACCACUCUACACCAAAUGAGGUGGUUCAAAAAAUCCCUACUACAUUUUGGUGAAGAAAAAAAAGCGUCUCCAUCAUGAAAACAAUCCUCUAUUUUAGACAACACGAGGGAAGAACGAACCCCUUGCUAAGAUAAUUCUUCUCUAAAAUAACAUCCAGAAAUGUCCGUUUGAAUACGUAGCCGAUCCACUUGGUGAGACCUCGAUCAUACUUCUAUAGAACUCAUAAAAUCAAGAAGGUAAACAGCACCAACCGGAUCGGAUCGGUAGUAAAACAGGAAGCAAAUCUACCUGAAAAAAUUUGGAAUUCCGCAGUGGGGAAGGCAUCGGAGGCGGCUUUGACACCCCGUUGGAAGAUUCCUUCGCCAUUGCUCCGAUCACUUGUCGAACAAACGAGCCUGCACCAAUGAUUUUAAACCCUAACCUCUUCAGAUCUAAUCGAAAACAAACCAGAAUGAUUAAACAAAAUAAGAAAUGGUGGAAAUUAGGGGAAAAACCUAUUUAAUGUCGGAAUAAAAAAAUAAUAAUAUCUAUAUGUCGGACAGAGGAAGGCUCGCAGAAAACCUCGAGAUCCAGAGGGGCUUAUAUAGACCGCAACCACCGGCACCAACCGAUACCGAUGUAACCAAAUCCGUACAUUCCAUUAAAAAUCAAGCGAGCACAGAGAUCGGGGAGUUGAAAAUGCUUAGGAUACACGCAAAGGAAACUCUCGAGAGCGAAAGCCCUCCCGUUAGACACCAAACGAUUCCGGAAUCCAGCAUUCUAAAAAUCAAACUAUUUUAUUAACAAACACAGAAUUAGAGCGAAAAUUGACCAAAUACUUUGGAUUGGAUUUACCGCAGUUUUAGAAUUUUUGAUCCAGAUUUAAUAACCAGGAGAUAAAUGGUGACAGGAUGCGGUGAGACGAGAAGAAUGGGAUUGGAUAUGAGAUUUAUGAAAGAAUUGGCAGACUGUAAAAGAGUUUGCUUUCGUUAUAAAAAUCGCGCGAGUGAAGAUUUCUUUUUCUUUUUCUUUUUCUUUUUCUUUUUCUUUUUCUUUUUUAUAUGAUAACAGCCGCACAGCUUUUAUUGAAGAAAAAAAAAAUUACAAAAAAAAAUCAGCAUCUAACAGGUAUUAGAAUAGAGGAAGGCAAUAUGACAAAAAUAAAACGGUUGCAGAAAUAAAAAAUAAAAAAAUAAAAAAAAUGAUGCAAUUUUAGCUCAACAAAAAAUCAGCAUGUUGUUCAUAUUAAGUAACCUAUUUGGUAAAGUAUGAGCGACGUCAAGCUCCAUUUAUCAGGAUAGAUAAUUUUCUUAUUUUGUGCCAAAUUUUUGCAUGCUUAUUAAGCAAUUUUGUGUUACAGAGGUUGGACCAAAAAGAGAAUGGUUGUAAACUUUCUGUAGCAAUGGAUCUUAUAGAGAUUGUUUAUUUAUAAAAAUUCUAAUAUUUCUUUCUUUCUAGCAUGUUUAUGAAAUGGCAGUAAACAUAAUUCUUCAAAAGUUCUGUGCGAUUGCAGCACACCAGUUAAAAGACAAAAUCCUUUCUAGAUGGUAGCAAAAAAAGUUGCAUUCCAGAAACAAAUAGUUCACAAAUUCGAUUGAGUGGCAACACAAUAUGCAUUCUCCCAUAUUUUUUCUAAAUUUUCUUCAAAUGCUAUCUCUAGUAUUGAACCGUUUUUUCCAACAAAGCCGUAAGAAGCAUUUUACUUUAAGUGGCACUAAAAGGUUUCAAAGUAAGGAGACAAAGUUGUCCUUCACUCCUCUAAAAUUAAUGAACUAAUAGUGAGAUGCAGAGUUGAACUUUCCUUUACUGCUUAGUUUCCAAACAAUCUUAUCCUCAUCUCUAUCAAAGUUACCAAGGCGAACAAAGAGAGCAAAUGAUUUUGCUAUUGAAAGAUCUCCACUUAUUGAUUGCUCGAUGAUCUAAAUUCCCACGACAUACUUCUACAAUUAAGAAAAUCAGAUACAGUGCCAAUUUUGUUUUUAUGCCGGGAGCGUAGGGAAGACCAAUUUGAGGGGUGAAUCACAAAGCCAACUAUCUCUCCAAUAAAGAGAGGUAUCUUUAAUAUUUUAUUCUUCUUAAGUCUUAUCGGAUCUAACAUAUGAACUCAAUGUUGCAGCUUUACUCAACCACAAGCCAACUACUCAGCAUAUGGAGAAGCAAGUUUGGACACUGAAUUCUUGAGAUAAAAAAACAGGAUGCAUGCCUACCAUACAUGGCAUCUCAAUCACACAAAGGCUAUCGAUGAUCCAAUAUGGUUCUACAACAGAUACUGGCAUCCCUCCAAAUAGAUCUUGUGAUACCACUUAUGCUAAAGAUGAGAGUAUUUUUUUGAGAAACGGAGUUUCUUUUGAUACCAAUUCCAUAACAAGUUUCACCAAAAUCUGCAGCUUGUUUGCUUGCCUUCUCGAUAGACAUGCGACACAUAUAGAGUAAUAACCAAAGAAGAACAGCUCCAAAUGUAGGAUCAUAAAUACAAGAAGUUACUCCACCGCUUUGCAUUGAGAAGUUUAAUAGCAACUGAUCAUAUGCCCUUCUAUGCUCCUCGCAAUUCUCUAGAGGAACAUAGCACUUAGAUAAACUAAAACCAGCAGCAAGAAAAAUAAUUCCUCCAUAAUCAUGAAUGAUGAAGCCAGUGCCUGCCCUAUCCUUUCGUGAUCCUCUAUCAAAAUUGAUUUAAGAAGCUUUGCUUAGCCAGAGAUCCCGAGUGAGCGAUAAGUUCUUAAGAAAUAGAUCGAGCUGCAGGAGUUAGAGACAAGGAGAGUAAUUUAGGAGCAUAUGAAAUAGCAUGUUGGACAACAGAAAUUGGAGAAGAUACUCCAUGGAAGAGCAAAUUAUUCCUUGCCAGCCAAAUCCAAUAAGCAAUGUAUUCAAAAUUGGUAGCCAGCUCAAAUUUGCUUGAAAAACUUGAAUGCAGACGGUAAAGGAAAUCAAACAUGCAUACCAAUAUAAAGAAUGCAGUUGUGGAUCCAACAAGAAUUAUGUCGGUCUUUUAAAUCCAAUGACAUUUUAUAAAUCAUUUUGAAGCUGAACAUAUAUGAAUGAAUUGCAUGAGCUUUUGAUACAAAUCUAUGGGUCCCAUUGUAGAGCAAUUGCAGUAAAUGUAAUAGUUAUCUUAUUAACUGUACUUGAUAUCAAUAGAAAAACUAAAACCCAAUCGUACCGCUUGUGGCUGUAGUUUAGUGGUGAGAAUUUCACGUUGUGGCCGUGAAGACCUGGGCUCGAAUCCCAGCAGCCACAUUUUUUUUAUUUUAUUUAUUUAAAUUGUCCCUUGUUUCCUGAAGGAUGAGCAAUUAAAUCUUCUAAAUAUGUUGUAAUAAAUAUUUAUACAUCUAUUGAUCUAGGUCUUAAAAAAACAGACAAUUAUGCAGCUCUUUCAAACUAUCCAUUUUGAGUUAUUAUUUAUUUUUUGCGAAUGUUUUAGAUAUGAAUUGUCGCUUGCUUUUUAAAAGAUGAGUAAUAUAACAACCUUCAAGACAUAUUUAUCUUGUACUAAUUGUCAAACCAAACCUACACUUAUGAUCAUCAAUUUACUGCACAUAUAAGAAAAAAUAAAUUAAUAAAAAAAUCAAGGAAUUAAGGGAUAAAUAAAUGGGUUAGAGAAAGAGCAUCAAUACCUUUUUUAUUUUUAGUAUUUUAAAUAGAAACCAAUGGAUUAAGAAUGUGAAUGAGAAAUGAAUAGAAUUUCUUUAAAACUAGAGUCCGGCUAAGUUAAGAUCUAAAUAUAAGAGAUUAAGACACACAAAUAAAUAGAGACUCUAGCCAAAAAAUUUUGACCGGGAGAAUCUAAUGUUUAAUAUAUCUCUCAUUUAAUAGUAUAGUAUAGAUUUGAUGAGUUAGAAAUUUUAGGAGCUUGAUAUAUUGUUAUGUUUGUUAUAUUUGCUAAUCAACUUUCUACCCAAUGCUCAUUGAUUGCGAGGCAAUUCAAUGACAAGAGAAAUAAAUAUAAUGAAUAUAGUUGCCUAAAUUAAACUAAUGUUAUGUUCUAGAUUUGUGGCUUGCUCUUCUAGACCAUUAUUAAUAACUCAUACAUUUCUUCCUUCAAAUUUACAGUAUAGGCAUAAAAAGUUUAUUCCACAUUUUUUUAUAUAAUUCACGUUAUAGGUAGAAAGGAAAUUACAAAAUUGUACAUAAAGAUUUUUGAUGUAGCACAGUCAAUGAAGGAAGGAUCGCAUAGCGAAGUGGAUAUCGCGUUAGACUCCGGAUCUAAAGGUCGUGGGUUCAAAUCCCACUGCGAUCGUCGCGUUGGAUUUGUUUUGUGUCCGUUGUAAAUAUCUUGUAGUUCUGUACCUGUCUCUAGUUGGACCACUCAAUCCAAAUGCUCGAAGCUAAACAUACUCCCGCUACCGCGUUUGCUGGACUGAAAUCCCGCGACUUUGAAAUCAUCCCUCCCCCUCCCUUAACUCGGUAUACACCACCCACUCGUGCCCUUUUCAGAACUUGUCAUCAUCUAAUGUUACUUUUUUUNNNNNNNNNNNNNNNNNNNNNNNNNNNNNNNNNNNNNNNNNNNNNNNNNNNNNNNNNNNNNNNNNNNNNNNNNNNNNNNNNNNNNNNNNNNNNNNNNNNNNNNNNNNNNNNNNNNNNNNNNNNNNNNNNNNNNNNNNNNNNNNNNNNNNNNNNNNNNNNNNNNNNNNNNNNNNNNNNNNNNNNNNNNNNNNNNNNNNNNNNNNNNNNNNNNNNNNNNNNNNNNNNNNNNNNNNNNNNNNNNNNNNNNNNNNNNNNNNNNNNNNNNNNNNNNNNNNNNNNNNNNNNNNNNNNNNNNNNNNNNNNNNNNNNNNNNNNNNNNNNNNNNNNNNNNNNNNNNNNNNNNNNNNNNNNNNNNNNNNNNNNNNNNNNNNNNNNNNNNNNNNNNNNNNNNNNNNNNNNNNNNNNNNNNNNNNNNNNNNNNNNNNNNNNNNNNNNNNNNNNNNNNNNNNNNNNNNNNNNNNNNNNNNNNNNNNNNNNNNNNNNNNNNNNNNNNNNNNNNNNNNNNNNNNNNNNNNNNNNNNNNNNNNNNNNNNNNNNNNNNNNNNNNNNNNNNNNNNNNNNNNNNNNNNNNNNNNNNNNNNNNNNNNNNNNNNNNNNNNNNNNNNNNNNNNNNNNNNNNNNNNNNNNNNNNNNNNNNNNNNNNNNNNNNNNNNNNNNNNNNNNNNNNNNNNNNNNNNNNNNNNNNNNNNNNNNNNNNNNNNNNNNNNNNNNNNNNNNNNNNNNNNNNNNNNNNNNNNNNNNNNNNNNNNNNNNNNNNNNNNNNNNNNNNNNNNNNNNNNNNNNNNNNNNNNNNNNNNNNNNNNNNNNNNNNNNNNNNNNNNNNNCUCUCUCUCUCUCUCUCUCUCUCUCUCUCUCUCUCUCUCUCUAUAUAUAUAUAUAUAUAUAUAUAUAUAUAUAUAUAUAGCUUCAGUAAUCAGUAGUACCUACAAUUUGCAUAUAACAUAACCUAAAGCUUUAUUCUUUAUUCUUUACUCCCAAAUGCGCGUUAUGCACGCAUGGUCGCUAAUCUCAUUUAAGGAGUUCAAGAUUACCGCACUAGUAUGAAUUGUUAAAAACAAUAAAAUUACAAAAUAAUCCACAUAGUUCCAACAAACCAAAUCAAGAAUCUAAUUAAAUUCCUAAAUAAACAGUAUGCCAAUAAGGAAUAACCGAUAACUGCAGCUUUUGUUAGAUUCUUGACUCUUUGUGGAAUUAAAAUUGAAUACAGAAUUGCCUUCUACCGGACAUUGUUCAAAGUUGAUGCACAGUUAAUUUAGUAGCAAAUAAACGGUAUAACAAAGAAGAAAGAAGAAUAGAGAAUCCUCAGGUGGAUAUGAUAUCUGCUGGGCUGUGAUUCGGACAUUUAGAUUUGCAGGUCAAUCUUUGUCCGGCUUCUGAAUCAAAUUCCCAAUCCUGUUCGGUUCUAACAAACUAGACCUUAUCUUUUUGUGAAAAUUAACUAGACCUUAUUUUUGAAAAAACAAGAAAAAUGAAAGCAUAGACCGUGAUUAGAGCUGAACCAUCUAAACCUAAUCUCAGGAAGACCAAAAACUGGAACUUGACAGAUGGGUUCAGUACCAAUUCAAAUUAUCACAUCCGAAGUUGCUGCAUGUAGAGGUUGGCUACCGCGCAGCCAACCUUUGUAGAAUGUCAAUCACCCUAGCGGCCUGUUCCGGCAGCAGUUCUACAAAUUCAGAUCUGAUGUAUAAUACUAAAUCUAGCACUUCAGAGUUCAACAAAUUUACACAAGGCAUGUCGUAACUCAUUCAAGAAAGAUACACAUAAAGGCCACUGUUAAAUGGAUGACUAAAUAUGUAAGACAUAAUUUCUAGACAACUUGACAACAACAUACCAGGUAUACUAAUCACACAUAGCUCUGUAAUAUAUCCAUUAUUUUCAAUAAAGAUACUUAGUAGGGAUAUUGUUAGCUAAUGACAGAAUAUUCAAAAAAGAAAUUGAGCAAAUGUAGCACUUUAUGAUAGUUGCGAUGAAGGAGAUUCAGUAUCAUUCAUCCCUGCAAAAAAUGAAAUGAGAAUCCACAGCAUGAGGAAGACUACUAUUACAGCCCUCAGUACAUGGUCGCAGUUAACAUUCAUUGGAAGAUCAGUGUUUGGGUAACCAUUGACAGCUGCAUCAUCAUCUGAAACAUUUCUGUGAUGCUGGCUUCUGCUCGUAUCUUCCAUUCGGCCUAGAGAGCUGCCAGCAACAAGCCUCCUGCAAUGUGAACAAGUGCAGUUCCCACCUAAACAAGCCGGCACAGUCUGAAGGAAUUCAGAAAGAACCUUCAGGUAUGUUGGUCCCUCAACACGCAAUUUUUGCCGAGUUGUGGGCUUCAGAACCUAAUAUAUCAAGGCAUUGUAAAUCCAAUUAAGCAAGUCCAGUAUAGCAAGCUGCAUGCAUAUCUUGACACAUGAUCAUUAGCUAAAAAUUACAUGAACACCUAGCUAAUCUUAUAAAGGUAGGCUUCAUAUGAGGUAGUAUUAUACUCAAAAGAACACUUACCUAACUUGUUCGCAAGGCACUCCAAACCAGUAAUUACAUUGCAUUAAGUAAAAAUUAUAAAACUUUUAACAAGGAACAAUAUGCAGUUCCUAUUCCGUUAAAUUUUUAACAAUCACAAGGCUGUCAUUACAUAAAAAUAAUCACAAGUCUGUAAUUUGAGUGAUGGCAACAUCCUUAUGGAACUUGUCAGAUCAAUGUUUGAUCAGAACAAGUUAUAGAACAAUCAGUUUAAACACCCAGGAUAUUUCUGAAUAUUCAAUCUUCCGUCUAAAACUAUAAAACAAUAUAGCAGAAAAUCUCAUCUGAUUAAGUAUUUCUAAUUUAAAUAGAGUAAAUGACUGUAACUUGGAAAACAAAUCAGGAUGGGCUUGCUGGGUGCGUUUCAGAGCAUGCUUAACAAAAGGCAAGGGCCAACUUUUACAUGCAAACUGUGUCCCUAGAUGCUUUGUCCAUAACUACAGUUUGGCAAGAAGCAGCUCCAAGUUUUGCAAGAAGCUACAAGAACAAAACUAACGAAAACAAGUGCACAGGAAACUAAAUCAACUCCAAACAUGGCUAGACAAUUCACCCUAAGGAAAUCUACUCCAAUAAGACUACACGAUCCACCCUAAGCCUAAUUGGUGUGAUCUUAAAGAGAGGGCCAAAACCCAAUUUAAGGCAAGAGGCUCUGAGCUGUGUACAUUUGCCAAUAUCUGAAUCGAGCCAUUUUAUCUAUCAUCUAUCAAAACCUCCUGGUCUUGGCAAUAGGAUGAUCAUGCCUCCCUCCCUUCCUGGGCAUGCUUGCAUGAAAACAUAGUUGUCCCACCAAAAGGUAUCUUUUAGGUAUAUGGGGUCCCCCCAAGUGAAGAGGCAGAAAAAGAAAAGAAUUGAUGGGAGGCUCAGGGGUCCCCAAGUGAAGAGGCAGAAAAAGAACAGGAUUGAGGGGAGGCUCAAAAUCAGAAAGAAUCCCAAUUUUUUCAAGGAUGGCAUCGCAUGAAAAGCUGAUUUUGCUAUCCAAGAAAUCUCAGUAUGAACAACCUCAGCUGAUUGUAGUUCUCAACCUCCACCUGAUCAAUAUGAACAACCUCCAUUCUCUCUUUACCUAUCCCUACCCUGCAGGAGAUAUAACAGGCAAAUACCAUGCUCUGGCAUCCAAACAGGUUAUAGAAGUCUAUAUUGAAACUAUGAAAGUAAAAUAUCGAAAGGGGCACCAGGAGAAGAAAGACGUACAUCAAAUCAGCUGUGUUAUAGGAAAAAUCGGUCCCCAGGCCCACAUAGGAUGCAUGAGAAAUUGGUUAUUCCUCUCUCCAACUACCUCACAGGAUGCACAAGAUGAUCUUGUUAAGUGAUUCUACCUUCUGCCGGAGGACCAAACAGAAGUCUCAGGCCAAAAUUUUUCUCUUUCGAGUCCUGAUAUCUAAAUGUGAGAAAUCGAUAUGCUGCACUCUCAUUGGACCUCUGAACUUAAAGUUAGUUUGUCAUUUUAACUAAGUUAGAUCUAUUGAUUUAUACUGUUUCUCUCAAUGAUGCUCUAAUGCAGCCUUCAUCCUAACCCUUUACCUUUUUCAGUUUUUCUAUAAUUAAGAUUAAUUACCAAGGGAAAAUCUCAUCAUAUCACAGCUCAUGAUGGUUAAUAAGAUAUAAUCUACUAACAAUGGAAUAAUGCGUUUACUAGGAUUUCCAUUGCACUACCUACUUCUAGCCCUUCAUAUGGUUGUUUGGCUAUAACAGUAAUUGAGACAUGUGGCUACUUUAUGAUGGAAUAUAUGCAAGAAAGAAAAUUUAUUCAAGCAACAACAACUUCUAGAUAAUGCAAAGUAAUCCAUAUAAAGUGAACUUAAUGCCGAUCUGAGAUGCAAUUGCACUACGAUAUGCAUAGUAAGAAAAAUACAAUAUCCAAUGAAUAGAUAAAAUUCUGUCAUCACAGCUACCUACUCAGCUCUGUAAAUUUAAUGUCCCUCAGAUGAAGAUAUACUGGAAGCAGUGAUUUCUCCAUAGCUUACUAGAGUAGGUAGCAUUUUUCAGAAUGAUAUAGCAAAGCAUGGUCUCAUAAGCAAGCAACGGUUAACAGAGAUGCUACCAGCCACAUAGAUAUGGACCUGAGUUCUUUGUAGAAGAAAAUUACAGUGCAUAACAAAAAUUGCCAACUACAAGUAGAAAUCUAAAGUGUUGUCAAAAGAUAGGCCAUCUGUAACAUGACAACUUAAAUGCAUUUAUCAAUACUAGCAACAAGAAACAGACUUUUUCUAUAUAUAUAACUAAGAAACAUGGUCAUAUUUGGGAGAAAACUGAGAAAAUCUUUUUUCUCAAAAAAAAAAGAAAAAUAUUCUACCAUUAAGAUCCAACAAGCCUACAUUCCAUACACUUUUUCUAGAUUUGUGAACAUGUAACUUUGGAAGUGUAUGUUAUAAAAAAUUUAGUUUAUUGACAGUUCUCUGUUUGAAGUUGGCGGUGAUUAUCUCUUAGAAGGCCAAAUCUGGGAGACAUGCAGACCCAAUUAUUUUGUGAUCUUGUGCUUAACUGCACCAGAGAGCAAACUAGUAACAAGUAACCAAGUCAAUUCCAUGCACAACUAUGCAUAUCAUGCUACAAAUGUAAAAAAAAAUAUUUGCAUGGCCAAAAUCAUGUUCUGCUACAUAGGCAGAUGAUAUUGCACAAAUUUAAAUACAAAGACAACUAGUUCCACAUGUUCAAUAUAGUCCUCAAAAAUCUACAACAUCAAGAAGAUAUUUGAAUAUAGCAAAACAGAUUUUUUUUAAUCAAAACAAGCAUCUUACUUGAAAAAAUGUCUGUGCAAUAACUCGAACAACCGGAGGAAGACGCAUAACGAAUAAAGCCCCAAGGCGAUCUGGAUAAUGAUCUUGUACAAGAGUGGAACAAGAUCUCAUCAUUUGCAUUGGAAAUUUGAGUGGAGAUAACCCUUCACAAUCCACUAAAACUGUAAUCCGUGGAUUUUCUUCAUGAACCAAAUGCAGGACUCCUUGUUCUAUUUGAGAAACUGCAGCAACAACAAAAAUGCACCAUGAACAUAGGGCCACAGAUCCUCCUGACAAAUAUGAAGACUUGAAAAACAGCUGCGAAAAUGGUCAUGUUUUUGCCAUGGGUCAUGAUCAAGAAGCCUUUUCCAUCUAUCUAGAAUCAGAUUGAAGGGAUUUGAUAGCUGAUGUGUUCACCAAAUUGGCAAAAGGCAGACAGUAUCACCUGAUAUAAUGUGUGAGAUGUAAAAUGAACAUGAAACAGCUAUGGUCAAUCACACGUGCAAGCACAAUUAUGCAGCAGCUAAUAAAACCCAAAAACAACAAAAUCUUGUAGUUUGUUCUAAAUCCAUGACCACAACCAUAACAAGUUCUCCUCUCAACUGUUUAGGUUGGCUUGCUUCUUCGGCUUUGUUCCCAUGACAUGCUUACCCAGAUUCAAUUCUACCUAUGAAUUGAUAAAUGUAUGCAGUUGGUAAAAAGUUAUGGUUGUCAGUAUGAUUACAAAUAACGUAAAAGUGGCUAAUUCAAAGAAAAGCCAUACCAAUAGCUUGAACAAAGCGUGGCCUAUUAUGAGGCAUUAAACUAGAGCAUGCAAGUCCAAUGCGGAUGACAAGGCAAGGUCGAAACAUCACAUCAAAUCCAUGCCAAAAAAUCAAAUGUGACCACGUUUCUAGUUCUUGUGAUGAGAGUAUGUUGUAAGUUUCCCUCCAACGAAUGGUCCUCUUGAGAGAUGAAAGCAAGCAUGAAAUGUCACCAUUUGAUGCAGUAUAGAAUCUGUGAAGCUCAUCCUCAUCGAUCCUGUAUAAAAUGAUUAUCUCACUCAUUUCCUCUGGAUGGGCAUUAAAUUUAAAUGAUACAAGGAUACGCAUAGUCACUCAGAAUAUGUAUCUGUGUGUAUGCGCGCAUAUAAUAUGUAUUUUCUAUGUACAUAUAUGAAGUAUGUGAAUAUUGAAUGUAAACACAUCAACAUGCUACAUGAAAAUGCAUCUAUACAUGCUGUGUACAUCAUGAUAACCAAUUUAAAUUGUAUGCACUUGCAAAGAAUUCGAACUUUAUACAUGAAAAGAGCUGUGACCUCAACAUAAUUUCACUAAAAUUGUGGAGGUAUUCAAAGGCAAUAUGUAUGAUAACUUUUGUUGGUUAUAGCAUAAAAUGUGGAAAUUACUGAGCCUCUAAAACUUACACUUAAUAUUGUCUCAUACAUCAUGGGAUGCAUUUAAAUUGGUAAAAUAACAGUAUUUUAGUUCAGAUAAAUAUAUGCAUUUAUAUAUGUCUAUGCUACUAAGGUGAAACUUAUUGCCAAAUAUGAUAAUUUAUAUCAUAAUACCUAUAAUAUAUAUGAUUAUGAAUCAAAGGUAUAAAUAUGGCUAGACACUGUCUUGUUGAUAUCAGCAAAAAAAAUCCAACAGGCUGCUUUUGUGGACACAUUUAUGAUGCAGUACAAAGUUCGGAGACCGUAUGUGGGUUAGGGGGUUGGUAAGAGAAAGAGAGUGGGAGGCUUGGGGUCAGAUGGGUCUCUAUGUCUAGACAAAGUGUGUUGUCCAUGCCUAUAUAGAGGUAUGGACCAAGAAUGAGAACAUUAACUAUAAUGACACUCAAAGAAUUGUUUGACAAUCAUGAAUUUCACAUACAAAAACUCCAUAAAAUCUCCUAAGGCGCUUGACGAUACAAGAUCCCAAAUCAGACAGAGGAAAUAGAACCAAUUUUACUUAAAUUUUCAAAAAAUAGAAUAGCGCCAACUCCAAAAGGAUGGGAAAAGAAUUUUUUGCACUGCUCAUAGUCCAAACUUGACAAAGGCAUCCAGAAACUUGAACUACUUGCAAUCUUCGGUCAUAUUGCAUUCUGCUAAUAAUUACAUCAUUAUGCUCCAGCCUCAAAUUAAUAUGCAAGCCUUCAAGAUUAAUAGACAAAAAAAGAUUGCACUAUGUCAUUUUAUUUGAUAUGCAUUAAGCAGAAGAAUAUAUUUAUGCCAAGUAGCUAAACAGAAAAGGCGCUAGCAUUUCCUGUAAAUUGUUUGUAAGAUUUGACUAAGUGUAGGCAUAAACUAUUCUUAUCUUCAGUCCUCUGGUUGUUAUUCUGCGGUAUCAAGAGAUUCAGCACAUGAAAUUUACUUCAUGGCACUACUCCAACAAGCAACUUCUGAAAAGGAGAUAAAGUAGAAUUUCGCAAGAAUUACUUUACAUAUGAUAUGACAAGGUUAAUAACUGGGUUGGUUUAUUAGGUCAGAAUCUGACAAGAUCUAUAGCAGAUCCAGUGUGCAAGAAUCCUAACCCAUGGUCAUUACUUAGUAAAUUUAUCCGGUGAUUAUUAAAUAAUGUUAUGGUACCAUUUGGAAGCUUCGUGCUACUGAAAAAUAUCAGAGCAAUGAUAGCCAAAGUCUUCCCUUUGAUUCUGACAUCUAGGUAGCUUUUUAAUAGCAAGCUGUGAUUAGCCUGCUCAAGCUAGGUAAUAUGUAGAUAUCACGAAUACAUACUGACCUAUGUGCAUACCCAUAUGUGCAUUUGUGCAUAUAUAGAAAUAAAUACAUGGCCAGACAUACAUAUCAUGUAUGUUUAUUUCUAUCCAGUGCCACAUUCGGUUAACUUUUCUCAAAUUAUAUGUAUGCAUGCAAUUAUGUAUGCAUGUAUGCACAUACUAUGUAUGUAUAUAUGCAUGUAAAUAUGUCUAAACUAGUUAAAGCCAUCCAUGGAUAUAUUCCUUUCAUAAGUAAAACAUAUUACCAAAUAUUCUAUUACUUGAAGAGGGAACACAAGCUAAAUACAACCACCUCAUUUCUUUAUCCUUUUAUAUAAUUAGUAUAUUCUUCCCAAUUCUUAAAUAUGUAGAGAACAACUUAAAUUACAAUGGCAUACAAGAUAUAAGCAAAGGACCAACAGCCUCUAACUUUCUAAGCAGAGAUUCUACUACAUAUUUUAUACACAAAACAUACAAGAUCAUUAGCAGACAGGAACAUGGAUGAGAAGAUGACCUUUCAGGUAAAGUAAUUCCCUGUUUUUCCAAUUCUCUAGAAAGUUGAACCAACCAAGAUUCGGGCAAUGUAUCCUUAGGAGAUUCAUCAAAGUUCCUGAAAAGCAAAUUUUAUCAAUGAACCAUCAGAAUGCAUCAGAGGCUAUUGGUAGAAUAAUCUUUCUUUGAGGGGGAAAAACAGUAUUCAUGUGUUUCUGUAUUUCAAGGAAGAAACAAUCAAAGCAUUAGAUUAUUUGUCAUGAAAGUUUCAGACAUUCCUUAGAUAUCACUUCAUUAGUUUCUUCUGUAUUAGUGGAGUUGACUUAUCACCCAUCACUUUCAAGCAUAAACAGGUCUGAAGCAAUUUGGAAUAACAAAAUCAACCUAUCUAUCAGAGUUGUCAACUGCCUCUAGGAGAUCCAUUGAAAUGAUGAACCUCGAUAGAUGCCUUAUCAUAUAUAGCAGAAGCAGCUGGUCUCGGGGACGCGUAUAAAUAUUUCAUGAAUAUUGCAUUAACUCUUCUACUGCUCUCCAACAUGAACAGCAUUAUCUUUCCGCCAAUGAUUGGUCAAUAAUAUCCUUACACAGAUGGCUAGUACUCAUCAUUCUCAUUUUGAGGUUUCUAUAAACAAUCAAUGAACUUUUGACAAAAGUUCUAAUCAAAAUUAUACAGAGUUGAAAACUGUUGUCAGAAAUAGCUGUUCUGGCUAGUCUGAUUCAAGUGGAAACAUGUGCAAUCAAAUCUGUGGAAUGCAAUUUAUGCUACAGUUUUGUCUUUUUUUUCCACGUUUCAGAACUUUCUGAAGAUUUUAUACUAGCAUCUAAAGUCAUAUUAAAUAUUCAUGCAGCAGUAACUUUUGUUUUAGCCCAAAGUCCUAACACANNNNNNNNNNNNNNNNNNNNNNNNNNNNNNNNNNNNNNNNNNNNNNNNNNNNNNNNNNNNNNNNNNNNNNNNNNNNNNNNNNNNNNNNNNNNNNNNNNCCUACUAACAUGUCUUGCUAAGUCAGUGUUCAAGGAUUGCUUUUAAACUCUGUCACAGCACAGGAAUCCAGAGCACAUUGUCACAAAUAUCAGAGCAAUUAGAACAGCAGGGACAAAUAUGAAAAUACCUCUUUAUAUUCUUUCACCUACCUCAUCUCAGAAGCUGAUGACCUACUAGGUGAUUCACAAUGUGCUUCAGCAUCAUCCACACUAUCAGAUGUCCUUUUACAAUUUGCAAAAUGAUCAGAAAAAGUUGUUGCAAUCGAGAGAAACACUAAUGGGCUUGAAACAUUCUGUCAGUAUGAACAAUGUCAGCACGAAAAAAAGAAAAAAAAUUAGAAGAACUAAAAUAUAAUGGCAGACACCAAUAUACAUCAUUCUCAUUCGAACAAAUAUAUGUGGGAAACACCCGUUGAUAAAUCUAUCUGUAUUAGAGGUUAGAAAAUAUAACACAUAAAACGCUAGUCAGUAAUUUUGAAGAUACAUACAAACAAGAAAGUCAAUUUCUAUAGGUCAGAAAUGUAAAAGUCUACUAUAUAGAAGUCAAUAUACUUGGAAAAAGGGUGUCGCGUCUCUAUAUCCUAUAAACCUAAAAUUUCAAUAUACUACAUAAAAGAGGCCAAAAUGCCAGAGAAGAUUUGAAAAAAUCAGCAAAGGCACUGGAUGUUGUUGGUCAGGAAAUAUCCAUAAAGCUAACUUCAACUGGUUGGGGCAAGUAAUGUCUAUGACCAAGUUAAGUUGGCCUAUGAUUGGAUACUUACUUGGUUAAGUUAUACUUAGAUUGCCCCGUAACCAAAACUGCCCAGGUUACAACGUAGCAUGCAUGUGCAUGAGAGGGAGAGCAGGGGAGAGGGAAGGUGGGCGUGGGGGGGUGGGGGGGGGGGGUGCGGGGAGGAAGGGAGGGAGGGGGGAGAAGAUGCACCAAGAACAUCAAACACAA